CCCUUAGAUGUUCUGGGCUGCACGCGCGCUACACUGAUGCGCUCAACGAGUUUACGACCUUGCCCGGAAGGGUUGGGUAAUCUUUUUAAAACGCAUCGUGAUGGGGAUAGAUUAUUGCAAUUAUUAAUCUUUAACGAGGAAUUCCUAGUAAGCGCGAGUCAUCAGCUCGUGCUGAUUACGUCCCUGCCCUUUGUACACACCGCCCGUCGCUCCUACUGAUUGAGUGAUCCGGUGAAUAAUUCGGACUGCAGCAGUGUUCAGUUCCUGAACGUUGCAGCGGAAAGUUUAGUGAACCUUAUCACUUAGAGGAAGGAGAAGUCGUAACA
rnacentral:rRNA from 1 species